ensembl:lncRNA
UGGGGCAUGGUUCACUUCCUGCGAUCCUGCCCCCUUCCUCCAGUCGCCACUCACCGAGCAACCUCGUGUGGAGUCCCACUGUGUUCGAGGCUCUCGUCGGCUGUAGAGAAAUAGCUGUGAACAGCACAGAACCACUCCUUUGCUCUCCUGACUCAAAAGGACAUAUAUCACCACCUGACAGUUACACCUUGAAUUCCUGAGAGCCUGCCUUUCUCUACUAAAAAGCCAACUCCAAGAAUGUAGAGGGGUAGGGGCCUGGGAUGAAGCUCAGUGGCACCGUGCCUGCCAGGCAACCACAAGGUCCUGAGUUCGAUUCCCAGAACUGAAAAAGAAAUGUAGAGGAGUGAUGUCUUCCAGGGCUGUGUUCCCAGCACCAGAGCUGCGCACGACACACGCCUGCUGUGUACAGGUGUUAAGAGAGUGAAAGUGAUUCUGGAGGAGGGAGCCUGAAGCAGGGAGGCCGGGUCUUCUGGAGGAAAGACUCAACAGGAUGCAUGUGCAUAACCACACAAAGGGUCUGUUAAGUAGCUCACAGGACCCCAGUGAGGAGAGUUCACUGUGGGCCGCUGCACUCUGGAGAGCCCGAGGAUCCAGUGGCUGUUCAGCCUAAAGAGCUGAAACUGCAGGGCAGGAGGGGCCAAGGAGGCAGCACCAGUCCAAACCAAAGGCCCAGAAGCUCCUCGGCGAGUCACACUCUGAGUCUGUGUUGGACGCUGAACAAACCAGAGCCUGACAUCACAGGCGACAGCAGCAGCCAGACAGGACCGCCCAAACGGAACGGUGCUCCCAGGAAGACACAAGACCUCCUCCACCUUCCUCCGGUCUCUAAGCCGUGAGCCCAUUGGCUGGCACUGGGCACUGUCAGAAAAGUCUGGGAUCUUGAAAAAGGGAUAAUGAAGAACAGCCUAUCAUCCUACCGCCCGUGUGUGUUACAAGGUUGGACAAUACUGCCUGUUACGUUGUACAAACGAACAUGAAGGAGCGGCUCCCGUUCAGGAGUGAGGGCCCGUGGGGAUGAAGAUACUCGGCCUGCUUGGACUGCUGGGCAGUGAGAGCCGGUUAAGCGAUGAUCGAGGCGCAGUGCACCAAGCUGUGUCUCAAGCUAGUCACGACUGCUGUUCUCAGAAGUCUAUCCAUCUGUCCGUCCGUCCGUCCACCCAUCCCACAACUCCUUUCUGAUCAAGAUGUCAAACUGAGCCACCAUCUAGAUAAGAUGGACCCAAAGUCCCUAUAUGGACUCAGCUUGACAUGACUGCAGCCAUCUUGAACUGUAGCUGUGUGAUUGGCCCUGAUCGACCCUGGUUGGUUUUCCUCACAGUUUACAAAACCGUUAGAAUGGUACGUGGAGCUUUACAACCAGACCUUGGUGCCGAGAAUGUCCCUGACCUUCGAGGGUGGCUGGAGAUAAAUCCAAUACAUUCUGGCUUAGAGGAAGCCACUUUCGUCCUGACCAUUCUGUAAGCCUCCAUCUUCUGGCCCAAAGUGUAAGGCUCCACCUGGUCUUGCUUCUGGUGCCAGCUGUCCAACAAAUUGUGCUCUGUGUGACCCCAGAUCCGUGGCCCCCUUGUUCUGUCUCACAGUGCCUGGGACGUCAGUCCUCAGACACAGGGACCAGUUUGUUCGAACAGCACUGGUUAAGGGUUCCCGGAAGCCAGAGCCUCUGGGAGCCUUGCACGUUCCCGUGGGGCUCGCUGUGUGUGGCCCCUCUGGCUCUGGGCUCCUUGCUCCGCAGGGGGAAUCUGUGUCCGUGAACCAGGUCCUCCCUGGCCUAUGCCCCAUUAACUCACUGUGGGCUCAGCGCCCACCAGUUCAGCCAGUCACAGGAGGUGUGCAGAUUGCCACUGUCCGUAGAUAGAAAACUUUCAGAAAAGAAAGUCUCUUUUCUGGUCCUUUCCAUGACUUGGCUCCCAUCUUAUCUUAGCUUGCAAGUGAUUCCCUCACCAAGUGAACUCUGACAGCAGCUGUCAAGCUAUUUUAUUUUUUCUUGGUUUGAAAUUCCUUCAGCAGGAAUUUACUCUAGAGUGGUCCAAGGACUGGGUCAAUGUUGUGGCUUAGCUCGAAAAGCCCCCAAAGCCUUCUGUGCUCAGAGCUGGGGCUUCUGGGAGGUGGUGAGGGUUGCACGCUCCGCUGGAGUCGCCCACCCAGCAGUUCAGCGCUGACUGUGGGGAGGGGGCCUGGUGGGGCGUGUGGCAGGAGGUGUGUCCUUGUCCCAUUUCCUGCUUGCCUCAGCUUCCUGGCUGCCAUGGUGUGAGCAACCUCUCCUCCAGGUCUCUCUGCCGUUCUGUUUCUGCCUCAGAGCCGGCCGACCACGGACUGCAAUCGUGAGCCAAGGUAAAACUCUUGUGCUGUGGGUUGCAGGUGCUGGGCAUCGUGUGCAGUGAAGGGAGAGUGACUAAGACAGGCAGGCAUCAUCCUGGUGGCAGAGUUGGGUGGCCACCACAGGCCAGGUAAGUGCUGAAGAUGUCCCAGGCAGCUCACCUUGGGCCCAGCCUGCCUCGCCUGGGUUAAGUGUGGGACAGGUGGGUGGGCCCUGGAGGAGAGAAGAGACUCCAUGCAGAGAAUGCAGCAGGGCUCAGCACCGAGGCUGUCACUCAGGACCCGUCAGAGCCGCCUGCGCUUUGUCCACUGCAUGAAGCAGGGCUCGCUGCUGCAUCGAACACCUUGUUCUCAAAAGAAGAAAGAGAUGGGAAAGAAAACGCCCAGCGCCCGCUGGUGUCCGCAGAGUAAACGCUGCGUCGUGGCAGACUUCCAGCUGCCGAACGAACCCGGGCCCGGCUCCCGCCUUUCCCCUGCUCCCGUGGGUCACCUGGCUCCUGGCACUGGCAGCCUCAGACUCCUCUCUCGGUUUCCUCACUGACAUCUUUGCUUUUGAGAAGACCGAGGUGGCGGACACCUGACAGCCCCACGCCACUGACUUUGAAGGCGGAGGCGGGAGGAGGCAAACCCGGCGGCCACCGCUCACUAGAUCUGGGCCGCUGCCUCCUCAGGCCUCGACCUUCCGCGCUCACCCGGAAACUGGCGGGAGACACUGUGGACAAGGACUCGCCGGGAGCGCAGCCACUGGCAGUGUCUGAAGAGACACUGUCUGCCGAAGAAGCCCCGGCUCCGCGAGAGUCCCCGUGACCCUUUUCUGUUUCCCAAGGAAGAUCAAUCCUCCCCAUUGCUCCUGGAAGGAAAUCAGAAGGGCGUUCUCUGGGCAGAACGACGAUGCUGCUGCCCAGUGGUGAUCGGUGGGUCACAGGGACGGGGCUGGGUCUGCCUGUGGCCGGCGACACUCUGACGCGUGCGCAUUGCCCCUGGCCUGCGUUCCCGGCCCACUGUCCUUCAUGGGGACUCAGCCCCGCCUGGGCUCCAGGUGCGACAGGCAGCGAGGGCCACUGCCGGCUCCGGCUCCCUGAGGCGCGGGCUGGGGCGCCUGUCCAGGUGGGGCCCACAUCCCCCUCCCACCUGCCCCUCUUCCGCUUGGGGUCCGCCCACCUCAGAACUGCUCAGGACAGCUGCUCUGUUUCUUGGGGACGCUCAGUGGCCCUGGUGACCAGCCAGGGCUGCAGCACCCGCGCCUUCGCCACUGCUGGCCGGCCUCAUCCACAGCAGAAGGGACCUGUGCCCCUCUCGGAGGGAAGGGGCGCCGAGGACAGGACUUAGGGCUCCCCUUCCAGGCAGAGGAGAAAACAAACUGAUUUUUCGCCAACGAUGUCCUCGAAGAAACCUUCUUUGUUUUCUGGCACAGCCUGCGGGAUUUUCGGUUCGGCACGGGUUUUGCCCGAGGGAUGCCGUUCCCUGUGCCGCAGCCCCAGCGUGCCUGUCCCCGGGAGGGGCGUGCUUGCUGGGAGGAAAUGCCCCUCUUUCCGAGGGGACGCGCCCGCGCCUCCCACUCUGUCUGCUGAGGAGACUGCGGGGCUCUGGGUGUGGCGCGGGCGCAGAGGGCGAGGAAGGGCUGUUUCCCUCUGUGUCUCCACCUCGCCUGUCCAGCAGGACCAGGAGGCUGCGGGAGCCGAGCGCGGAAGAGGCCGCCGAGCGAGCGGAGCCGCCGGGAGCGUCUGGCAAGGGGCGAGGGGUCGCCAGGGCGACCGGUGCCUGGAGACGGGAGGCCCCGCCGGCCGCCGGAAGGAGACGCUUUUGUGGCGGGGAGGCGUCUCCCUGCACGUGGAAGGGCCGAGGCUCCCUCGCCCCGCCUGGGUUGGGCCGAUCCCUGGGAGUGGGGAAGAUCGAACCUGCUCGGCGCUCAGCCGUCUCGGGUGGGCGUCCGCGGGGCAGACGGCUGCGCCGGCUUCUGCGUCGCCCCAGGCUGGGGCCCAGGGCUGCAGAUCGAGUCCGCGCCAGGCAGGGCCGGGCGCAGGACUGCGCCGAUGCUGAGGCGCGAGGGCAGCGCAGGGUGGCGGGGCCCUGCAGAGCGGACGCGGACGCGGCCUUGUCUCAGGGGCGAUGCUCGCUCUGGGACUGGGCUGGUUCCGUGACGCAGGUGGAGACAAAGCGGUUCGGUCUCCUCAGCUCGCGCUCUUGCUUCGCUUCCUGCCCCGUGGCGUCUCUGUCCCCUCCCUUCCCCGCCACGUGAUGCCAUGGCCAGAAGCCGGCGCUGGACCUCCAGACCUGUGAGCGGCGUAAACCCCUUUUUCUGUAAAACAGCGGUCUCUGGUACUUCGUCACGGUAAUGGGAAACAGACUGAGAUGCACUGCAGCCAACGACUUCCAGGAGCUUAGUGGCCGAAGAAAAAUGAAUGUUUAUUCUCAUUCGUGUCGCUGUCCAGUGGGUCGAUGGUGGGGUCAGGCUCUCGGCCUAAGUACUUCAGAGACCCGGCCUUCUGCUGCCUGGUGGCUGUGCUUCCAUCCAGGGCCCAGCCGCCUCUCCACUCAGCGGGCAAACGUGAACGAAAUGCUUGCGGGAGGGUUUAUGGGCCAACCUUAGGGUUGUGCAUGACUUCCCACAUCUCGUUCGCAAAGCUCAGUCGUGUGAGCCUAGUGACUUUGUAAGUCACAUGACUUACACCUAGUUAUAAGACAGCCGAGAGAGGCAGCGCGGUUGUGCCCAGAGCAGGGAGAGGGCAGCCAUGGAUGGGUAACAGGUGCACCUGCUGGUUGGGGAGACUGGGCCAGAUCGAAGAGUCACUGCUUCUGUCACCUGCAAGGACUGGCUGCAUUUUAAGUAACAAGGGCGCUGUUCUAAUUUUCUCCCUGACAUGUUUUCUUCAGAACUCUAUUGGGGAAGUAAAAGCCUGUUUUGACGCCCUCAAUUCCAACAUUCAGUGCGUGGUCUAGAAACUAGGAAAUAAAAUACAGAAGUUGCGAUGAAUUUUGGACUUUAAUAUUCUUUGAACUUUAAAUCACAAGGGAAUGAGAAUAUGAUUUUGGACUUUAAUAUCUUUGUACUUUAACUUAAUGACUGAAUUUAAUCAUUGAACUUCAAGGUUUUUCCCCAGAAUAGUCAUGAUGAGAAGGAGUUGCUAUUCAAAUUCGGGACAUCUUAUCAUGGGCAUUUUGUUGCUGGAGUAUCCUAACAUUGUCAUUGAAUUUCAUGUGGGACAUUUCAUGAUCUACAUUUCGAGGAGCACGUAACCUAUCACCCACACUGAAACAGUUUUGAAAGAGAAGGAGGCUGCGUUAGUAAUUGUGCUGGAACAACCGGAAACCAGGACUGCUUUGGGUGCAGUGGGAUAUAGUGAGGAAGGACGGAGUUAGGAAGGAGAAAUGAAGUGUGGGAUAGUGUGAUAGAUUUUUUAUUCUAGCCUUGUGAUAGAUUUAAAUAGUCAAAUUUUCGGAGGCAGAAACAGUCUUAGGGCGAGCAUUCUCACAGUGCCCAACGGACCCCCAGGGAGCUGUAGCGCGGGGUCAGAGAAACCGCACUAGGUAUUUCAGACGGAG